AGGGCAGCAUGGGACCAGAGUGCAGCUGCCCUUCAGAAGAACUUGAAUGUACAACUUGCACAUCUGAAGAGGUAGCCAAGAAAAUAGAGAGAAGAAUGGGAAGUGAAUCUACGCACAUCCUCCCCUAUCCCCUCUAGAAAGAAAUGCAGCAUCUCUUUCUCAUUGUUUAAGAAGAAAAGGGGGGUCUCGGAGACAAAGCCAAUGAAGGAUAAAUGAGUGCUCUGCCAGUUCAAAGUCAAUGUGAAGAUUGGAUAGGGAAGCGUGCGGAGCUCAGAAGGACUGCUGAUGAGGUGUGACGGGGCAGCGCCACUUCAUUAAUGCAUCACAAUGGUGAAGAGCGCCUGAAGCAGCAGCAGCAGCAGCAGCAGCAGCAGCAGCAGCAGCAGCAGGCUAUCACCUACCUAGGCUGCAGCUAUCAGCAAGGCCAACCCAGAGAAAGAAAGGCAACAAUAGACCAACGAAGAUGCCAUACAUAGGCCACGCCUUCCUGCUUCAUCCUCCUCCUAUUGUGGACUUUCUACGGGAAGUGUCAAUGUUACUUGUUUUUACACCCUCCGAGCAAGAGAAAAUCUAGUGACUGAAAAAGAAUAAGAAGAAAAACACUGACCAAGAUAAUAAUCCCAAGAAGUCAAAAAUUAAGACCUGAGAGGAAGAAGGCAGACUAAAGAAAGUAGGUGAGACAGUGACCCGAACCAAAGUGCUGGCUCCAUGCUCUGUGACGUUGGGUAUCCUCACUGCCCUCGGAAGCAUGGUCUUGGUGACACUGGUCAGGUGC